UAGGGAAUCUUCGGCAAUGGGGGGAACCCUGACCGAGCAACGCCGCGUGAGUGAAGAAGGUUUUCGGAUCGUAAAGCUCUGUUGUUAAGGAAGAACGUGUGUGAGAGUGGAAAGUUCACACAGUGACGGUACUUAACCAGAAAGGGACGGCUAACUACGUGCCAGCAGCCGCGGUAAUACGUAGGUCCCGAGCGUUGUCCGGAUUUAUUGGGCGUAAAGCGAGCGCAGGCGGUUAGAUAAGCCUGAAGUGAAAGGCAGUGGCUCAACCAUUGUAGGCUUUGGAAACUGUUUAACUUGAGUGCAGAAGGGGAGAGUGGAAUUCCAUGUGUAGCGGUGAAAUGCGUAGAUAUAUGGAGGAACACCGGUGGCGAAAGCGGCUCUCUGGUCUGUAACUGACGCUGAGGCUCGAAAGCGUGGGGAGCGAACAGGAUUAGAUACCCUGGUAGUCCACGCCGUAAACGAUGAGUGCUAGGUGUUGGGUCCUUUCCGGGACUUAGUGCCGCAGCUAACGCAUUAAGCACUCCGCCUGGGGAGUACGACCGCAAGGUUG
rnacentral:rRNA from 1 species